rnacentral:rRNA from 1 species
UGCAAGUCGAGCGAAGUGGAGGAAGCUUGCUUCCAAAGCUUAGCGGCGGACGGGUGAGUAACACGUGGGCAAUCUGGCUGUAGGACAGGGAUAACCCCGGGAAACCGGAGCUAAUACCGGAUAGAGGUAAAGAUCGCAUGAGCUUUACCGGAAAGAUGGCGCAAGCUAUCACCUGCAGAUGAGCCCGCGGCGCAUUAGCUAGUUGGUGGGGUAACGGCCUACCAAGGCGACGAUGCGUAGCCGACCUGAGAGGGUGAUCGGCCACACUGGGACUGAGACACGGCCCAGACUCCUACGGGAGGCAGCAGUAGGGAAUCUUCCGCAAUGGACGAAAGUCUGACGGAGCAACGCCGCGUGAGUGAUGAAGGUUUUCGGAUUGUAAAACUCUGUCAUUAGGGAAGAACGGCUAUGGUUUAAAGAAGGCCAUAGAGUGACGGUACCUAAAGAGGAAGCCCCGGCUAACUACGUGCCAGCAGCCGCGGUAAUACGUAGGGGGCAAGCGUUGUCCGGAAUUAUUGGGCGUAAAGCGCGCGCAGGCGGUUCUUUAAGUCUGAUGUGAAAGCCCACGGCUCAACCGUGGAGGGUCAUUGGAAACUGGAGGACUUGAGUGCAGGAGAA